GAAGUUACUUUGAUGACUGAGCCUAAAUUUCUUCAAAUUGAAAAUAAGAAAUUGAUACAUCAAAAGAUUAUCCCAAAAAGAUUUUAUUUUCUUCCAACUGAUCAAGAAAAAUCCAGAAAAUUUAUGAAUUUAUUCGUAAUAGAUACAAAAUUAAAAUCAAACACUAUCAAUCUCAAGAAUACAAAGAUUUCAUAACCCAUUCAAUUUUCAGAAUCCCUGAGGUUAUCACUGCUACCUAAUGGAGCAUCAACCUCUACAAACAAAGAAAAUUCUCAUAUGCAUGUAUAAUUAUUGCAAUUGCAAACAAGCUUGGUGAAGGAACUUCUACAUUUAAAAUAAUACUUUUGUCAUUUAAGGUUAAUUUGUUUUUCUGUGUCAGUUUUUCUUUCCAAAGAUGCAGCCAUAAAACAAGAAAAAUGAAAAUCAAAUUCACAUAGUUAAUCCCAAAUGAUUUAGAAUUAAGAUUCAGUAAAUUUAAGUAGGGUGAGCCAGCCAUAAAUUUGGAUUGGUUUGGUUUCCCCAUUUUUCAAACAGACCACUUCGGUUAGGAUGAUCAUUUAACCGCUAACCCACCUAGUCUUAAGGACACCCUUGCACAAUACCAUUGACACUUGAAAAAUACUAGCAACACUUUCUUUUACACUAUUUUAAACACUUUUCUCUACUAUUGGUCUUAAUUUUAUCGCACAUAUCUAGAAACCAAUUCUAUGUGUUAAAUAGAGCUUCCUAUUAAC
rnacentral:misc_RNA from 1 species